UGUAUUCGAAAUAUCUAAGUCUGAAUUCAAUACCUUACGAUAUCCUCUAGUAAUAAGUCUAACACAUGAGCAGCACAUGGGGUCCAAAACAUGUGCGGAUAUUUUUCCAUCAACAAACGUCCAGCCAUGACAUAGUUUGAUGCAUUAUCCGUGCACACCUGGACGAUCUUAGUACUACCAAUUUUUUCAAUUACAUCUUCCAAUCCUUUGGCUAUGAAGUCUCCUGUCUUCGUGUCGGAGGUGCAAUCAUCGGAUUGAAUGUAAAAACAUCCCUCCUC
rnacentral:lncRNA from 1 species